UGCCUACGGGAGGCAGCAGUGGGGAAUAUUGCACAAUGGGGGAAACCCUGAUGCAGCAACGCCGCGUGAGUGAAGAAGUAUUUCGGUAUGUAAAGCUCUAUCAGCAGGGAAGAAGAAAGACGGUACCUGACUAAGAAGCCCCGGCUAAAUACGUGCCAGCAGCCGCGGUAAUACGUAUGGGGCAAGCGUUAUCCGGAUUUACUGGGUGUAAAGGGAGCGUAGGCGGCCUGGCAAGCCUGAUGUGAAAUACCGGGGCCCAACCCCGGGGCUGCAUUGGGAACUGCCAGGCUGGAGUGCCGGAGAGG
rnacentral:rRNA from 1 species